rnacentral:lncRNA from 1 species
GUGAUAUCAAUUUUAAAUUCAACUUCACGCUCUGGGGGCAAUCCGGAUAGUUCAUCUGGAAAAAUAUCAAAAAAUUCCUUGACAAUUGGGAUAUCAUCCAGCUUUAUCUUUUCCUUCUCGACGUCUAUUAUAUGGGCCAAAAAUACUUUGCAUCCUUUCCUUAAAGCUUUUCUUGCGUUCAUGAUUGAGAUAAUACCCAAAGAUUGUUUGGAUUCCGUAUUAUGAACUUCGCCUUGAAAGAAGAAUUGCGGUUCAUCCGGAAUUUGAAAUACCACUCUUUUUUCAAAACAAUCAAUAUGUG